GUGCAUUCAGCUCAGUUGGUAGUGCACCCUUCUAGAUUUAGGGACUCCUCAUGGAGUAGUUUGUGGGUUUAAUUCCCACAGUACACA
rnacentral:tRNA from 2 species